UCCUAUAUGAAGAAACAGGGUGUCCAUCUCUUCUCACUUCAGAGCAGGGUAUUUAAAGUGUUUAUGUUUCCAUAUUGGGUUAUAUUAUUGUUUCUUUGAAUUGACUUGCAGGAUGUAAGGGAUGCAUGCAGUGAUCACUAGCUGCUGGCCCUACAGAGAGGAGACUUAAGGAACUGCAUCCCAGAGCUGGACCUGCUUGCUGAAUAUGUGUAGCCUAAAAGAAACUAGAAGGCUGCAUUAUCCAAAGACAAGUUAACCCACCUAAAGAAAAAAAGAAAAAGAACAGCCUCUUUCAUGAUUGAUGGGGAAAUUGUCUGGCAGAAUGAGUAUAGGUCUGUG